rnacentral:lncRNA from 1 species
UUUGUUAAACCUUACCUUGUACUGAUGUGUUAGAGUAGUUGUUGUUUCAUUUGUAUGCAUAACUCCUUAUUUGAACCUCAGUUUUCUUUCUUAAACAAUAUGGCAUGUGAAAUCUUUGCCUGUGUCAAGCUUAUUUGUGAACAUAACACACACACACACAACAUCUCUAUAGCAGGUUGUGAUUAUUUGAUUGUAUGUUAUUAUGCAUU